rnacentral:rRNA from 1 species
UACAUGGGGUGCAAACGUUGCUCGGAAUUAUUGGGCGUAAAGCGCACGUAGGCGGUUCGUUAAGUCGGAUGUGAAAGCCCUCGGCUCAACUGAGGAAGUGCACCCGAAACUGGCGAGCUUGAGUACGAAAGAGGAUCGCGGAAUUCCCGGUGUAGAGGUGAAAUGCGUAGAUAUGCGGAGGAACACCGAUGGCGAAGGCAAUCCCCCUGGACCUGUACUGACGCUCAUGCACGAAAGCGUGGGGAGCAAACGAGG